GACGAACACUGGCGGCGUGCUUAACACAUGCAAGUCGAGCGAUGGAGUUCCUUCGGGAAUGGAUUAGCGGCGGACGGGUGAGUAACACGUGGGUAACCUGCCUCAUAGAGGGGAAUAGCCUUUCGAAAGGAAGAUUAAUACCGCAUAAGAUUGUAGUAUCGCAUGAUACAGCAAUUGAAGGAGUAAUCCGCUAUGAGAUGGACCCGCGUCGCAUUAGCUAGUUGGUGAGGUAACGGCUCACCAAGGCGACGAUGCGUAGCCGACCUGAGAAGGUGAUCGGCCACAUUGGGACUGAGACACGGCCCAGGCUCCUACGGGAGGCAGCAGUGGGGAAUAUUGCACAAUGGGGGAAACCCUGAUGCAGCAACGCCGCGUGAGUGAUGACGGUCUUCGGAUUGUAAAACUCUGUCUUCAGGGACGAUAAUGACGGUACCUGAGGAGGAAGCCACGGCUAACUACGUGCCAGCCGCCGCCGUAA
rnacentral:rRNA from 1 species